UACAUAGCUUAAUGAGGGGAACUCAGGGAACUGAAACAUCUAAGUACCUGAAGGAAGAGAAAGAAAUUCGAUUCCGUAAGUAGCGGCGAGCGAACGCGGAUUAGCCCAAACCAAUAAAGUUUUCUUUAUUGGGGUUGCGGACAUAUCAUAACGAAGAGGUAUCGUAAUUGAAGAGGUUUGGAAAGACCCACCACAGAAGGUAAUAGUCCUGUAUGUUAAACGAGAAGACUUUAGAUAUGAUCCAGAGUACCACGGGACACGUGAAACCCUGUGGGAAGCAGGAGGGACCACCCUCCAAGGCUAAAUACUACCUAGUGACCGAUAGCGUAUAGUACCGUGAGGGAAAGGGGAAAAGAACCCCGGGAGGGGAGUGAAAUAGAACCUGAAACCCUGCACUUACAAGCUGUGGAAGCACAUUUCUUGUGUGACCGCGUACUUUUUGUAGAACGGGCCAACGAGUUACGUUAAGUAGCCAG
rnacentral:rRNA from 1 species